AAAGUCGUAACAAGGUUUCCGUAGGUGAACCUGCGGAAGGAUCAUUAUUGAAUAAACAUGGGAUGAGGCUGUUGCUGGCUCUUAGGGGUAUGUGCACGCCCAUUCCAUUUUAUUUAACCACCUGUGCACUCUGUGUAGAUCUGAAACACUUUCGAGUACAACUCGGUCAAAGGAAUUGCUGUGUAUAUGCCGGCUCUUCCUUAUUCUAUUUCAGGUCUAUGUUUCUAUACACCCCAUAUAAAGUUUGAGAUUGUAAUUGUUGGGCAUAUUGUGCCUUAUAAAUAAUAAUACAACUUUCAACAACGGAUCUCUUGGCUCUC
rnacentral:misc_RNA from 1 species